CCAUAUCACCUUGUCAAUGCCCAAUCUCCUCUGAUCUCGGAAGCUAAGCAGCGCUGGGCCUGGUUAGUGCUUGGAUGGGAGACGGCGGGGAAUACCAGGCG
rnacentral:rRNA from 1 species